rnacentral:rRNA from 1 species
AUACGGAGGGUGCAAGCGUUAUCCGGAUUUACUGGGUUUAAAGGGUACGCAGGCGGUAAUUUAAGUCAGUGGUGAAAGCCUACAGCUCAACUGUAGAACUGCCAUUGAAACUGAGUUACUUGAGUAUGGUAGAGGUAGGCGGAAUACAACAUGUAGCGGUGAAAUGCAUAGAUAUGAUGUAGAACACCGAUUGCGAAGGCAGCUUACUAAACCAUUACUGACGCUCAUGUACGAAAGCGUGGGGAGCGAACAGGAUUAGAAACCCUAGUAGUCC